rnacentral:lncRNA from 1 species
CUCUCUCACUAGAUGUUUUUAUUGUGUAAUGAAGGAGGGUCUGUCCCUGUCCCCUGGACCCUCCAAGUGUCUUUUUGAAGGCUUCUGGUAACUUUUUCCUACUGAGAUUCCCCCAGGGUUGGUAGGUAUAAAUGGAGUAGCAGCCCAGCAUCUUGUCUGCUGGUAUUAUAGUAAAAGUCUUACUUGGAGCACACUGGCAUAUAGAUUAUUAGCUGACCAUGCCUUUUGAGUUGUUAAUUCCAGUGUCUUGGAAAAAAAACGGACGCUGGAUAGAUAGCAUAGUGGAAAGGGCGCUCUGGUAGAGGGCCAUGAGCUGGCAGCAAGCCCCUCUUGGGACAGAGGCCGAGGGGGGUGCCUGUUGUCCAGGUGUGCACUGCCUGCAGGCUUCCACGUCGUUGGAAGGACACCCUUGAAGGUUCAUGUCAUCUACCAGGGGUCUUGUAGAGCCCCAGCUGCCCUAGGCAGUGUAGGAGAGUGUAGUGGGAGCUAGUGGACAAAGGCUUAGGUCUAUCUUGGGCCCUGGGGAGGUCAGGGACAGAGGCCGAGGGGGGUGCCUGUUGUCCAGGUGUGCACUGCCUGCAGGCUUCCACGUCGUUGGAAGGACACCCUUGAAGGUUCAUGUCAUCUACCAGGGGUCUUAGAACUUGAAAGAGGUCAGGGGAAGCUCCUCAGCAAAGCAGCAUUUAACUUGAAGGGAGUGACAAACAACUAGGCACAGACCCUCGUGCCCUGGGAGGUCAGAACCUGGAUUUAAGGUCUUAGGGGUAUCCUGCAGCAGCUGUGUUGAAGGAAAGGGAAUUAGGAACUGGGCAUUUUAGGAGUUCCUGUUAUGGCACAGCGGAAACGAAUCCAAUUAAGAACCAUGAGGUUGCCAGUUCGAUCCCUGGCCUCUUUCAGUGGGUUUAAGGAUCCUGUGUUUCUGUGAGCUGUGGUGUAGGUUGCAGACACAGCUUCCAUCUGGCAUUGCUGUGGCUGUGGUGUGGGCCAGCAGUUGUAGACCAAUUAGACCUCUAUAUGCUAUGGGUGCGGCCCUAAAAAACAAAAAAAGGAAGCAGUUUUAAUUCUGUAGAUUCAAAACAUUAUUCACUGAUACUUGUUCUUUUGCCUUAGCCCUGGGCUUAGAACUUGAAAGCCGUUUUUAUUUUUGGCCACCGCACUGUAUAGGGAGUUCCCUGGGCCAGGGAUCAGAUCUGAGCUGCAGCUGUAGCAAUGACAGAUCCUUAACCCACUGUGCUGGGCUGGGGAUCAAACCUGCAUCCUGGCUCUGUAGAGAUGCUGCCAAUUCCAUUGUGCCAUAGUGGGAACUCCACCAUUUUUAUUUUUAACCUAAGCCAGUCUGUCACACCCAUCCUUUUUUUUCUCUUUCUUGUAGAAUAUUUCCUAGAUUUGCUAACACUUGGAUUACUAAGUAGCCAUACUUCAACUCUCAUCCUCACAGACUCACUGGCCACCCUUAAACCACCUCACCUUAGCACUAAGUUGUCCUAACAGUCCUGGGUCCCCAGAUGAGACGAGGGCAGGCCUGGAGGGCAGGCACACACAGCUUUCCAGAGAAGCAGUUGGUGAGGAGAGGUGCAUACAUCACGUGGUCUGUGUGAGGUUAAGCCUCUGGAUAACUAGUCUUCCUUCACUGAUGGUGAUCUGUGUUCCUUGGGCCCCUCAAGCCAACCCACCUUCUAUAACCAGCAUUACUUCCUUCCACCCCCUGGGCUUGGAGGUAAUGUCAUUUUUUAUUCACCCAGUGACAUUUUGUGGCUGUUUGCUGCUACGCUAGAACACUUGCAAAUUGCCUUUAGGCUGCUGGAAUUGGAGCUGGCAGGAGGGUGUGUUAAUUGUUGAAAAUUCUGGUCAUAUUUUAGUUUUUCUCCUUCCUUCUAUCUUAAGCUCCUCUGGGACAGAAAUCCAAGUUCAUGUUGGUGUUAUCUCUUUCUCUCUCAAACUCAUCUUAAAAGAAGUUAUCUGUCCUUAUCAAAACCCUAACAUAAUUUUUACUUAGGCCUCCUGUUUAGAAGAUCUGUGCUAGAUAUUUCUAACCUCAGAUUGCCAUGGUGGCAAAACUGAUGCUCUUGCUUGCGCUCCAACCAGAGGCUGACUGUCACAGGUAACCCAAGAUAAUUACAGAUUUUCCUAGUUCAUUAAAAGUAUGAAUUGCAUUUGCAGUUUUUAUUAUGGGGGAUUUACAGGUGCACACAAGUAGGAAAGCCGAGUUAGGAACCCCCGUCCUGACUCAGCCUCUUAGCUGCUCAUGCCAGUCUCCGUCCAGGCACCAGGCUCACCCUCUGGGCUGUUGUGAAGCAUGGAGAGCUGUUUUGAUCCUGGUGAUCAGCCCCAUGUGGUAGCUGAGAUGAAAGUCUUUGUGAUCAGUCCUGGGCUCCACUUGUUGGAAACCCCCGUCAUCACCUGCGAGCGUCUGUCUCCUCAUCUGCUGACUGAGGAUCCAACCUUAGGGACUUGGUGGGAGGGUUAAAGUAGAUGACCUCAGUGAAAUCUGGGUGCAGCUCACCUGACACUGGUUGUUUCUUGCUGUUUGGGGGCUGUGCUCUUCCACUCUACUUCCAAGUCUCAUUCCUCAGUUUGGGGUGUUUGAAAAAAAGAGUCUGCUUAACAAACACUGCUGUUCAGCUUGAUGAGCAGCACAGUAAUAAUGUGAACUUAGACACCUUCUCUGCCUCUCCAUGUAACCCUCUCCAAAACCUUUUCUUUCUUCUUCUUCUUCUUUUUUUUGUCUUUUUUAGGGCCGCACCCUUGGCAUAUGGAGGUUCCGAGGCUAGGGGUCCAAUCCGAGCUGUACCCACUGGCCUACGCCACAACCAUAGCACCGCCAGAUCCAAGCCACUUCUGCGACCUACACCACAGCUCACGGCAAUGCCAGAUCCUCAACCCACUGAGCGAGGCCAGGGAUCGAACCCUCAACCUCAUGGUUCCUAGUUGGAUUCGUUUCCGCUGCACCACGACGGAAACUCCUCCAAAACCUUUUCAACAAACAUUGCUUGCCCACCUCACACUGAGCCUUAAAGUCCAUCGGUUUGUAGAGCAGAUGAGUGCUGGGUUUCUCUAAGGGUCAAGAACAGAGCAGGGUAUCUGGGGAGAAAAUGGGCUGGAGCGCCUUUGUGCCCAUGCCAGUUUAGGAUGGUACUUGUAACCUGCUCAGAAGCCAGUCAUCACAUCCUAGUAGGUAAAAUAGGCAAAGACCAUCUGACAGCUGAGAAAUACAUGGUGGAAAUGUUUGACACUACUAAUCUAAGAAGUAAGAAUAGAACUGGUGGACCUUCAUUUCUGGCUACAUGAUUGAUUAACAGUGACUUGUGCUAAUAAUAGCUAGGGUGGCUGAGGUUGAAAUGGUAGUUCAUAGAUGGUACAGGUAGAAAUAAAGCUAUUCUGGAAAAUAAUUUGUCAGUGUAUUUCAAGGGCCUUUCAUGUAUGUAUACUAUUUAGCUAAGUAAUAACACAUUUGUGAGUCUGAUCAGAUUAUGCUGACAGAUUAUAUACAUAGGUUCAUCUCAUCAUAAUAAAAAACAAUCAUGAACUUAAUAACAAAGGAGUAGGGUUACCCAUGCACUGAAAUACCAUCAACCUUAAUAACACGGGAAGAUGUUUAAUGUAGAAAAAUAGGAUUCAAAGUAACGAACAAUAUAAUCUCAACCAUUGAAGGAAAGCUGGAAAGACCUAUACCCUGAUGCUAACAGUGAUUGCUUCUAAGAGAGAGAAUUGUGUGGCCUUUUGUCUUUGCUUCAUUCUUUAGUACUUUUUUCUUUUUUUGUCCUUUUUUUUAGUGCCACACCCAUGACCUAUGGAAGUUCCCAGGCUAGGAGUUGAAUCGAAGCUACAGCUGCUGGCCACAGCCACAGCCACAGCAACUGUAUCUGUAACCUGCACCACAGCUCAUGGCAACACAGGAUCCUUAACCCAUUGAGCAAGGCCAGGGAUUGAACCUGAGUCCUCAGGGAUAUUACUGCUGCACCACGAUGGGAACGUCUCUUUUGUAAUUUCUGAACUUUCUGCAGUUUGCUUCUGUGGUGGUAGAAAAGUCAGCUCUUUGGUUAGUCUCUAGCUGUUAUAGAUAGGUGACUUAGAAACAUAAAUUAAGAAAAAAUGUUUCUGGACUAUAGGAAAUGGGUUGAUUUAACUGUCCCAGCCUUAUUGAACAUUUAGCAUUUGUUCACAUCUUUAGUGCUGUCGUUACACAUGUGCAUCAGAACAGCAGAUCUUGACCUCACAUCACUGGUUCCCAAGCUUGGUUUGUGCCAAUUGCCAGAAGAAGCUUUUUUAAUUGCCUGGUCCCCUGGUGAACCAGGGGAGAGCUGGAACUGCACAAAGGCACAGCAUCUGGGCUUCCAGCUUAGAGUUCCAGCUCUGCCACUUGACUGCUAUUGUGACUUUGGAUGUGGUGACACCUGGCUGGAGUUCCAUUCCCUGCGUUUGACUCCGUCGUCUUGAUGGACUAGCAGGCACUUGCUUGCUCCCCACGGAGCCUCACCUCCUCUUGCCCAGAGUCAGUGUGGUUCCUAAUCACCAGGCAGAAUUCAGACUUUGAAAUGACCCCGGCCCGCAACUUCCUGCCUUGCUCUGCUCUUCCCAGUCUCCCCACACCAGCCCUCUGUCCUUAUUGCCCCCGACCAUGCUCUGUCGGUCCCUUUCUGCCCUUGUGGCCAGUUGGCUGCUCCGACUCAGAGAUGAAUAAAGCAGUAACUCCAGGCUAAUAGGGAAAAUUCUAGCUUUUUGAUUUAUUACAUGAGAAACACUAUACUUGAGGGAGAAAGUUGAUUCCGCAUAUGGAAUAGCUGGUGUUUGCUCUUAAAAAAACGCUCGUUCUUCCAUGAACUCACUGCAAAGCACACUGAUCAAGUUUAGUUUGAUAGUAGAAGGAAGGAAGUGUAUUUUGAAUAUUCCUUCUUCUAGAAAGGCUUUGGGAGAUAUUCAUGGAUUAAUGGAUGUUAUUGAAAGUGUUCAUUUCCAGGAUUUCUGAAGUGGCUCAGCGGUUAACAAACCUGACUGGUAUCCCUGAGGACACAGGUGCGAUCCCUGUCCUUGUUCAGUAGGUUAAGGAUCCGGCGUUGCCAUGAGCUGUGUGUGUAGGCCAGCGGCUAUAGCUCUGAUUGGACCCCUAGCCUGCGUGUGGCCCUAAAAAG